rnacentral:rRNA from 1 species
UCUGAGAGAUCCUGUCCUCCCAGAGUGAGGGGGCUUGCUCCUGUAAAUCAGCGGCGGACGGGUGAGUAAUGCCUAGGAAUCUGCCUGGUAGUGGGGGAUAACGUCCGGAAACGGGCGCUAAUACCGCAUACGUCCUGAGGGAGAAAGUGGGGGAUCUUCGGACCUCACGCUAUCAGAUGAGCCUAGGUCGGAUUAGCUAGUUGGUGGGGUAAAGGCCUACCAAGGCGACGAUCCGUAACUGGUCUGAGAGGAUGAUCAGUCACACUGGAACUGAGACACGGUCCAGACUCCUACGGGAGGCAGCAGUGGGGAAUAUUGGACAAUGGGCGAAAGCCUGAUCCAGCCAUGCCGCGUGUGUGAAGAAGGUCUUCGGAUUGUAAAGCACUUUAAGUUGGGAGGAAGGGCAGUAAGUUAAUACCUUGCUGUUUUGACGUUACCAACAGAAUAAGCACCGGCUAACUUCGUGCCAGCAGCCGCGGUAAUACGAAGGGUGCAAGCGUUAAUCGGAAUUACUGGGCGUAAAGCGCGCGUAGGUGGUUCAGCAAGUUGGAUGUGAAAUCCCCGGGCUCAACCUGGGAACUGCAUCCAAAACUACUGAGCUAGAGUACGGUAGAGGGUGGUGGAAUUUCCUGUGUAGCGGUGAAAUGCGUAGAUAUAGGAAGGAACACCAGUGGCGAAGGCGACCACCUGGACUGAUACUGACACUGAGGUGCGAAAGCGUGGGGAGCAAACAGGAUUAGAUACCCUGGUAGUCCACGCCGUAAACGAUGUCGACUAGCCGUUGGGAUCCUUGAGAUCUUAGUGGCGCAGCUAACGCGAUAAGUCGACCGCCUGGGGGAGUACGGCCGCAAGGGUUAAAACUCAAAUGAAAUUGACGGGGGGCCCCGCACAAGCGGUGGGAGCAUGUGGUUUAAUUUCGAAGCAACGGCGAAGAACCUUUACCCUGGUCCUUGACAUGCUGAGAAACUUUCCAGAGAUGGGAUUGAUGCUUCAGGCAACUCAGAACACAGGUGCCUGCCAUGGCUGUCGUCAGCCUUCCGAAGU